AGUAGCGGUGAAAUGCGUAGAUAUCUGGAGGAAUACCAAAGGCGAAGGCGGUCCCCUGGUCCGAUACUGACACUGAGGUACGAAAGCGUGGGGAGCAAACAGGAUUAGAUACCCUGGUAGUCCACGCCCUAAACGAUGUCGAUUAGCCAUUGGAAGGACCCCUUUUCCUUUCAGUGACGUAGCUAACGCGUUAAAUCGACCGCCUGGGAAGUACGACCGCCAAGGGUUAAAACUCAAAGGAAUUGACGGGGACCUGAACAAGCGGUGAAUGAUGUGGAUUAAUUCGAUGCUACGCGAAGAACCUUACCUACCUUUGACAUGGCCAAAGUUCUACCGAGAGGCGGAAGUACUCGUAAGAGGAUUGGCGCACAGGUGCUGCAUGGUUGUCGUCAGUUCGUGUCGUGAGAUGUUGGGUUCAGUCCCGCAACGAACGCAACCCUUAUCUUUAAUUGCUCCUAUUUUAACAGGCACUUUAAAGAAACUGCCAAUGAUAAGUUGGAGGAAGGUGGGGAUCACGUCAAGUCCGCAUGGCCUUUAUAGGUAGGGCUUCACACGUCAUACAAUGGUUAGAACAAAGAGCUGCAAAUUCGUAAGAAGGAGCCAAUCUCACAAACCUAACCUCAGUUCGAAUUGCGGUCUGCAACUCGAGCGCAUGAAGCCGGAAUCGCUAGUAAUCGUGGAUCAGAAUGCCA
rnacentral:rRNA from 1 species